UUGAGAGCCUCGGAAACUGAAGUCUUCUAUUUGUCCACAAAAUAGGCCCAGCACGGGAAGCAGCUCUGAGCUCCCCUCAGCUCCCUUUUAUUUAUGCCCUUGCAGGACCCCCCUUGCUCCUCUUCAUGCAAGUUGGGAAGUUUUGUAUUCAUGGCCUAAUCAGUCCUUUGCCUCU
rnacentral:sRNA from 1 species